CUUUAUUUGUAUGGUUUGUUUUAUCUCUACUGCUAUCAGGUUUUCUUGUGUCUGUUUGAAAUCCUACUACUGCCUGGGUGAAGAGCUGUGAAUCUUUCCGUGGCCAUUGGCAGGCUCUUGAUACCUAUCUGUAGUGGAAGGAAGAAAAUUUAUGGCUAAUGUGAACUUAAUACACAAAAUCUUCAUUUGGUUCUGAUCCAUACAGCUCAGCUAACAUUUUAAACCUGGGUCCCCAGUCAUUUAGGAAGUCAUAAUCGAUAUCUGAGUCUGAGGAGCCUGAUUCCAAAGAACUGAGAGAUUCUGCAAUGGACUCGGCCCCUUCGUAGCCAUAAAUGUGAAGCGUGUCAUAUGGCAGCAGAUCCCUGUCAUUGUCAGCUUCGUCCUUCUUAACCUCGAUCAUCAUUUCCAUUUCUCCAGCACCAGAAGUUGUAUUUCCAGGAGGCUUUUGGACCUGUGCAUAUGCAGAAGGCACCACUUCUGGCUUUAUACCAUUCUUGCGCACGGAGUUGAGCACAGACACAUCAUAGCUGGUGGUGUCCAUUUCACCGCCACCUUCUUCAUCGUAAGUGACAAGCUGCUCGUGGAUCUCUGCCACAUUCCUCCUGAGACCGCUCAGAUCCUUCUUGUGUCUCUUCCUUAGAAGAAUUAGCAAUGCAAUCACUGCAAUGAUUGUGAAGAUACAGAUGAAAAUUGCCACCAGUGCUUGUACACUAACUCCAACUUGUUUAGCUCUUUCCUCACAAAAAGUGAAGUCGCCUUUUUCAUUACACUUGCAGACACUGAUAACAAGUGUGUUUGUGCUGCUGAGCUCAGGAUUGCCGUUGUCUGAGAUGAUGACAGGCAGGUAGUGGAUUUUGGCAAGUUCACGAUUAAACUGUCCAUCCUUGACAGUGAUAUUAGCUGUGUUAUCGGGGUUCUCAGUCAAGGAGAAGUUGCUAUCUUCUGUGGUUAGGGAGUAUGUGAAGAAACCUCCAGGUGAUAUUUCAUCCUUGUCAGUAGCUGAAAUCCUGAUGAUUACCUUCCCCGGCGCAGCAUUUUCGCACACUCUGGGUUCCUCAGGAUAAACGAGUUCUGGAGCAUUAUCAUUUUCGUCAGUGACAAUGACGUGAACUUGUGCGUGUGAUUCUCUGUCAGAAAGACGGCCAUCCUCCAGGAUUUCCUGGGCUGCCACAGUGAUGUUGUAUAAGGAGCUGAAUUCUCUAUCUAGGGGCUUAGGAAGCUGAAUAAUUCCAGAAUCAGAUACUCUAACAUAGUCUCCAUUAGGGCUAGCUCUUCGUCGAGCAAAUCUGAUUUUCCGUUUAGCUGCGUCGGGGUCAUGUGCCCAAACGGAGCCAAGUGUUUUUAUUUCAGGAUCAUUCUCCCGUACUUUGAAUUCAUAUGAUAGUUUGGUGAAGACAGGAGGCUCAUCUACAUCUGUAACUUCAAUGGUAAUUGUUGAAAUGCUCCUGGAGCCACCAGGUUUGUAGUAGGCAGGGUUAACGUUGUGAUCUGUUGCUUCAAUGUCAAACCUGUACUCUGCUACUUUCUCGAAGUCCAGGGGCUUCUUUGGUCUAAUGAUUCCUUCAUUGGUGAAUGGAUUUGCUAUAAUUUCAAAGGUGUCCCUGUAGUCUCCUCUGACAAAACUGUAUUUUGUAUUUCUGUGUUGUGGUUCAUCAAUAUCUUCAACUUUAACUCGGCCAACUUCUCCUCCUACUGAAAUGUUUUCAGGAACUCUGAAGUGAAAUGAUGGGUGUUUGAAUACUGGGAAGUUGUCAUUGAUGUCUGUUAACCUGAUAAUGACUGUAGCUGUGCUUGACUCCCCGGUAAGCCCUAGAGCAUCUUUUGCUUUAACAAUAAUUUCAUAUGCUGAUUGACUCUCUCUGUCCAAAUCAGCUCUUGCUGUGGAAAUCACACCAGAGUCAUCAACUGUGAAAUAUUCAUUUCCUUUAAUGAUUUGGUAGGUAACUGUGGCAUGACCUGCAACUGUUGGGUCAUCGGCAUCUUCAGCUGUCACUUUGGUAACUGAGGUUCCUAAUCGUGACAUUUCUGGGACAGAUCCAUUGAAUAUCUUUUGUACAAAAAUGGGAGCAUUGUCAUUAAUAUCAGAAACCUUGAUAAUAAAUUUAGAUGGUGGUUCCAGCGAUCGGUUGUUUCUUCUGUCAAUAAUGUGUGCUGUCAGCUCAUACUCUGCUUUCUUUUCUCUGUCCAGCCUCUCAAAAGCGUAUAUGUCGCCAUCGUACCCUUGCACUUUAAAGAUGGUGUUGGCAGAUUCACCUUCAAUAAUAUACAUAGCAUUCUUGUUCCCUACACUCGAUGUGAGCUUGCCAACGUGAUGUGGUAAUGGUGAAUCAAUCUCUUCUCUGAUAUGCAUUCGGUUCCAUAUCCAGUCUCUCUUAAGUCGUUUAUGACUGGUAUUAUUUGAAGAAAAGUUUUGGUUUAUUUUCUGAUUUUCUUUAUAAGAGAAUGCUGGAGCCAAG
rnacentral:lncRNA from 1 species